GAUGAACGCUGGCGGAAUGCUUUACACAUGCAAGUCGGGCGGCAGCACGGGGGCAACCCUGGUGGCGAGCGGCGAACGGGUGAGUAAUACAUCGGAACAUGCCCAGUCGUGGGGGAUAACACUUCGAAAGAAGUGCUAAUACCGCAUACGUCCUGAGGGAGAAAGCGGGGGAUCUUCGGACCUCGCGCGAUUGGAGUGGCCGAUGUCAGAUUAGCUAGUUGGUGGGGUAAAGGCCUACCAAGGCAACGAUCUGUAGCUGGUCUGAGAGGAUGAUCAGCCACACUGGGACUGAGACACGGCCCAGACUCCUACGGGAGGCAGCAGUGGGGAAUUUUGGACAAUGGGGGCAACCCUGAUCCAGCCAUUCCGCGUGAGUGAAGAAGGCCUUCGGGUUGUAAAGCUCUUUCGGCAGGAACGAGACGGCGAGCUCUAACAUAGCUUGCUAAUGACGGUACCUGAAGAAGAAGCACCGGCUAACUACGUGCCAGCCGCCGCGGUAACAC
rnacentral:rRNA from 1 species